AACGAACGCUGGCGGCAUGCCUAACACAUGCAAGUCGAACGAGACCUUCGGGUCUAGUGGCGCACGGGUGCGUAACGCGUGGGAACCUGCCCUUAGGUUCGGAAUAACUCCUCGAAAGGGGUGCUAAUACCGGAUAAUGUCUUCGGUCCAAAGAUUUAUCGCCUUUGGAUGGGCCCGCGUUGGAUUAGCUAGUUGGUAGGGUAAAAGCCUACCAAGGCGACGAUCCAUAGCUGGUCUGAGAGGAUGAUCAGCCACACUGGGACUGAGACACGGCCCAGACUCCUACGCGAGGCAGCAGUGGGGAAUAUUGGACAAUGGGCGAAAGCCUGAUCCAGCAAUGCCGCGUGAGUGAUGAAGGCCUUAGGGUUGUAAAGCUCUUUUACCCGGGAUGAUAAUGACAGUACCGGGAGAAUAAGCUCCGGCUAACUCCGUG
rnacentral:rRNA from 1 species